AAAUGAAUAUCCUAAUCCUGAAGAAGUAACGAGCAAUUUGGUAAAAUAAAUUUGUCGUAAUCUUUUACGGUUGCGAAGGAGUAGUGGCCACAAGAAAAACAGUGUUUGGGGAGAUAACUCUUACAACGUAAAGUAUUUUGUUACGCAGUUGUAAAUUUUUAAAGCGUAUAAACUAUACGAUAUCAUAUUCCAAAUAUCUAAGCGACAUCUUUUGAAACAUCAAUACUACGCAAGAAAAAAAAUUAGGCGGAAGAAAAAAAAAAAAAAAAAUAAUAAUUAAAAACCAA
rnacentral:lncRNA from 1 species